CUUUUUUUUUUUUUUUUUUUUUUUUUUUUUUUUUUUUUUUUUUUUUUUUUUUUUUUUUUUUUUUUUUUUUUUUUUUUUUUUUUUUUUUUUUUUUUUUUUUUUUUUUUUUUUUUUUUUUUUUUUUUUUUUUUUUUUUUUUUUUUUUUUUUUUUUUUUUUUUUUUUUUUUUUUUUUUUUUUUUUAUUUUUUUUCUUUUUUUUUUAUUGUCUGUUUUUUUCUUUUAUCCUGUUUUUCUUCCUUUUCAAGAUCUUGAAAAGAGAGAGAAAAUGAGAGAGAGAGAAUGAGAAAGAGAAAACGAGGGAAAGAGAAUGAGAGCAAGAGAGAGAGAGAGGAGGAGAAAUUUUUGGAGUUUUUUUAUUUUUAGUGGCUUUGAUAUUGAAAAUACUAUAUAAAGAAUUUUAGAUGAAAUCAGUCAGUUGAUACAAUUAUUGUUGUUAUGUGCUAUUAUCGUAUGAUAAGCGGGUGGGGCUUUUCUUGUUUUCGUAAACAUCAAGAUUUUAUUGGUUGGGUCUAUGAUUCCAGCCUACAUGAUACUCAAAAGGGCCCUGGUUCAUCUGGAAAUGAAAAGUGCUUUAUGAACGUUUGGAUUGGUGCUUCCUUGACUCGGUUUGGUAACUUCAAUUUCUACCCACCUAUAUCGUGUUAAGUCGGAUCACCGACCUAUUUUCAUGGUUGCGACCAAGCUCAAGAAGUCAAAUCUUCCUCAUACCUUUCGCUUUAUGGCUUCAUGGUUGUCACAUGUUGAGUUUAAGCCUUUUUUUGUCGGAAUGGAAUCGGUCUUUUACCUUUAUUCAUCAGAUGUCCAUUCGAGCUACCAAACUGAAAAAAUGAAAUAAGGAAAUUUUUGGCAACAUCCAAACGAAUAGAAGGAGCUUAUCUUUAAACUUGCUGAUGUUUAAGCUCUCGCAGCUCCUCUACUCAUUCAAGACACCACAAUGGACAUUGCAAGUGACCGGAAUACUCAUUUUUUUCACGUAUCCACCUUCCGUAGGCGUGCUCGGAACCACAUUAUUAAGUGAAGGAUGACUGUGGGGUGUGUAUUCAUUAGGUUUGGGAGUCGGUUAAUUUGGUUAAUAACCAUCGGUUAAUGGUCGGGAAGCGCUUUGAUGAUUGAAAUUAAUUAACCAAAUUAACCGACCGAGCAAAAGCCACGGUUAAUCUUACCGACCGAUAACCGACCAAUCAGUUAAAUGAUCGAUUAUUAACAGACUGACUCUCGGUUAACCGUUGUAACCGGCUCUGACCAAUUUAACUCUCUUCUCAUAUUGCAACAAGAUUCUAGGCUCUGGCUCUAGAUCCGUCGUCGAUUCAAGCCUUGGAGACCAUAGCUUCUCUUCUGGAAACAAUCCGGUGCUCUACAACUUGAUCCUUCGGGACUGGAAGCUUUCCGAGACGGCGUUGUUGCGGAUCAGUAAGGAGAGGAGGAAGCUUCAAGCCUAUGGUGUUGCAGAUCGAAGAAUUGAGAGAGUGGAGGAGGAGAGGAUUGGCCGUGGCGACGAAGGAAGCAUGUGGUGUUGCAGAUCGAAGAAUCGAGAGAGUGGAGGAGGAGAGGAGCGCUUGCGGUGACUCGUCGUGGUCGUCGUCGUGACUGCCGGCGAGAUGCUGAAAUUGAAUCGCUUGGAUUGAUAGAGUUGUCGAGAUGGAUUGAUGGAGUUGUCGAGAUGGAUUGAUGGAGAUGGCUCGGAGUUAACCUAAUUUCAGAAUGAGAGGUUGUGAUGGAGUGGGAGGCUGGGAGGGGAGGGAGCGAUUCUGCGAUUGUGGUGAGCAAAGCUUGAUUUCCUAAUUGGGGACCUUGGUUUUUUUAAUUACCGGUUAACGUUGGUUAACUCGAGUUAACCAACGAUUUUACCCUGCUCCAACAAGUACUCCCAACUGUUCCCCGACCGACCCCUACCUCGGUUAAACCGACACUCUAACCGAGUCGAUCAGUUCAUCUGUUUAACCUAUUAACCGAGACUGAUGGCCCACCCUUAGUAUUCAUCCAGCUUGUUGCUGCAAUUAGUGUCGUAUUGAUAUGGUUGAGAGAGGAUAAAAUAUGCUUGAUUUCAAGUUCUCCAACUUGAAAGGUUUAGCUGUUAAAAAUGUAGAGGUCAUGACUGAGUACUGAUUUCCAGCAAGGAGAAGUUGGAUAUUUGCUUGCGAUAAAAAAGAAUUUGGACAGUCUAUCUUAGGCACAAAAUCUAACGGAUGAGAUGGCAACUUUACUUCAGGGGCCUAUUGGUCAUUUUAAAAUUUUCUUGUUUUUCAGUUUAUUUUUCCAUUCUGUUUAAUAUUGGUUCAAGUAAAAUGAUUUCUUGUAAAUUGGGUCUAUUGAGUAACGUGGGUGGGUAGACUUUAUUGCUCCCAUCGAGCUUGACGUGAUAUUUUCUUCUUCGUUUCUUUAACAUGCAUAAAUUGUAUAUAAUACGAAAGGUUGGAAAUAUAUGUGAAGCUCGAGGUUUAUUAUAUAUGUUUCGAGGUUUAUUAUAUAUGUUGAACCUUUUUGCCAAUUGGUUAUUUUUAUCAUGUAGUGCCUUAUCAAGUAAAGGGAAUGGUUGUUUUUAUCUACUGUCACUAGCCAACUUUCUUUCUCAUGUGAUCAAUUAUUUGAUCACGCAUGAAUGACUACAGUACACAAAAGAUAGAAAUAUUAUAAAAACAAAAAACAAAUAUUAAAAAAAAAUACCUAAAAAGCAGGUACAUAACAACAAAAACAAUAACCGUAAAUAUCAAGUACAUGAAAGCGGAUGCUCAAAAUAAGCACGCACACAUUAAAAACUUUGGUACAUACAAGGCAAGAAAAUCGAGAACAUAUUGGAACUCGAGUACCGGAAUUGGUACGGUAUUAAGUACAACGUGAAGAAAUAUCAAGUACAUUAAAAAGCGAGUAUAUAACAAUAGAAAUAAGUACACGAAAACAACUCAGAGAAAUGAUAAUUUGAUUGCCAAAAUUGAGUAUGAUAAAGUAAAAUGCAAGCACGUAGUACAUGAAACAAAUAUGAGUAAGAGUACAUAAAUUUUUUAGUACAAUACAAGACAAAAACUCAAAUACAUAUAAAAACUGGACACUAAAAAAAAUAAUUAAUUAUUCACAAUUUUAAAUAAUAAUAGUCACGAUUUUUAUCAUGAUUAACAGAAGCUAGUCACGAAAAUAAAUCCGUAACUAACCUAACCGAUGCUAGAUGAACUUGUCACGAAUCUGAAUAACCUGUAACUAAGUUGUCACCGAAAUUUUCCGUGACCAACUCAUCACGGAAGAAACCGUGAACAUAUGUGUUUUUGUUUUUGUUUUUUAAAUUAGUGGCACGGAGCCAUAUGCUGUGAUAAUUGAUUUAUUAAUAAAUUAAUCCCACAUCUCCGUGGCUACUAUAUCACCAGAAUUUCCAGAUUCCGGCAACCACAAUUUCCAGAAUCCGGCAAUAAGAUAGAGUUGAUAAUUGCUUUUUUAUUAGAGUAAAAUGUUCUACAUCUAUACAUUAUGAUACCCAUAUCAAAAUUCCAGAAUCCCAAAAUUGAACAUAACGUCAACGAAAGGCACCAUGCAACAAUGGUGACACUAAGGGUUACAACAACCAGCAAAACCGAAACACAGACUGGAAAUGCUACCAAGAGAAGGAUGAGACUAGAUGAUGAGAUUGAGAUUGAGAGAAGAAAAAUGAUAGUAAGAAAUUUUGUUUUCGAGAGAGAUCAAAUGAAGAUGAGAUCUACUUCUAAUUUAAUAUAAUGGAAAUGGAGAUAUGGUUGUUUAAUGGCAAAGAGAGAAGAAAGGAAUAGCCCAUUAAACGAGGAUAGAGUCUGCAUCAUUUCUUUUUUCGACCUUUUCCCACUAAAAUGCUAAUUUUAAAAUUAUAAAUAAAAGUUGGUCACGGUUCCAACAUUUACCGUGAGUAGUUGGUCGCGGUAUUCAACAAUCCAUGACUAGUUAUGGAUUUUUUUUUAUCUAUAAGUAGUUAGUCAUGGUUUUUAAAGCCGUGAUUAAUAAAUCGUGAUUAAUCGUUGAUUUUUUUUGUAGUGCGAGUAUGAGUAUUGAGUAAAACGUCAUGUACAAAAACAAGUACAUCAAAAGCGAGUACAUAAUUAUCAAAACAAGUACUAAAACGAGAGGAAAAGUACAUAAAAAGCGAGUAUAUAAUAAUAGAAACAAGUGCAGUAAAAAUCAAGUGCAUGAAAGGAAAACGAAACUCAAACUAAACACUAAUACAAAAAAAACUUUAGUACGCAAAUAAGUAAAUACAAGAAAAUUAACAUACACAAACGAAUACAUAAGAGUAUAGUGUUUAAACAAAGCGAUUAUACGGAUCAAUACGAUGUUGAGUACAAAACAACAACUUGAGGCUUUAUCCCUCAUUUUUAGAUGAUUUUGUACUAAGUUCUUAUAUGUAUUAGUUUUUAUUAAUGUAAUCCCUCGUGUACUUUGUCUUUGGAUUUAUUUUUAUGCCAUAUCUAUUUAUUUACGCAUUUGUGUAUACUUAUAUUUUUAGAACUUUAUACUCAAAUCAAUUAAUCAAACAAUAAAACUAUUUUCUCUUUACACGAACCAACAUAAUAACCCAUCACCCCAUACAGGGUUGUGAAGGAGGUGCAGUGACCAGAAUUUUCUAGUUGUUGCUUUUCUAUAGUUUGAUAAGGGUAAGCAUCUUGUUCUAGAAUAUAUGUUGUUAGGUUAUAACAAUGCAUCUAGUUGAGCAUGAUUCUUUGGUCAAGUGUUACUGGGAUUCUUUUUGUUCCACAUCAAUGCUCGGAGGUCGAAGAGGCAACGAGGGUGACGAAGAAAUCGGCAUCACCACGUGAGAGAAGAUGAAGAAGAGGUCAGAGAGUGGAGCCGGUGGAAAAGAUAUACUAGAAGAGGUACUUAAAGUUACUUGUACGACAAAACUGCCCUUAUUCAAUUGGACAACCCCUAGAUUAAAAUUUAAAAAUGAACGGACGCGAUUCGUUUGCGGCCAGCAAACACAUAAUAUCAUGGCUGCCUAUCCGGACUCGUCAUAACUGGCGUCAACAUUACGUAGUGUUGUCAAAAAUUAAAAAGGGGAAUAUAUAAUAAUAAUAAUAACAGACGUAAUCUUGUGUAUAUAAUGAUAUUAAAACGUUUUUCAAUCGACAAAGCCAAGUCUGCGGGAGGAACAGCUAAUGGACGAACAGCCUAAGCAUAAGCCGCCUUCUUCGUAUUCUUCAGAUUCUCUGAAUCUCUACCCUUUUUUUUUGUUACGCGGAUUCCCUUCCCUCGUCUGCAAACAAAAAGCUCUUCGUUGACUUUUUAGCAGGCUUUUUUAAAAAACCUUAAUUGAAAAAAUUUGUACAUGGUUGUUGCCUUUGUUGGCGUCAGCAUGACCCAAUGCUGUUGUCAUGUUCAUGAUUGCUCCAACUCACCUGGCUGCGCAUCUGCCUUCUGACCUGACCUGCCCUCCUCCUUUUUUUUAAAUUAUGUUUCCCCAAAAUUAAAUUUAAAUCGUUACAAAAUUGGUCUCUCCUUCUCCUAUAUAUAACGUGGAAGAGCUCCUGCCAAAAAAGUCAUUCAAACUCAAAGCAGAUAAAUUAUCAAAAUAAAAAAGAAAACCCCAGUGCUCUGCCUGCCGUUAAGAAAUUAGUUUAUUGGGUUUGUUGUGUUUAUGAAAGCUGUGUUCCAGAGACUGAUAUCGUCAAGCACCCAGAUUGGCUGUAGGAAGAAAGUUGCAUCUUUUCCAUUAAUCAGAAGCGCUAAUAUGUCUGAAUCCUCUGCCUUUGAUUCUCCGAGAUUGGUGACCAAGAAGGUCCUUGCUAAGCUUCAGCGUGAAGGGGAUGGUGCUUCUGUCAGGAGAAGCAUUGGAAGGUAUAAUAUAAUAUAUCAUGGAUGGAUGGAUGGAUAUACAAUUUUCUUCUUGUCAAAAUUGAAUUAACUGUUUUCGUUUCUGUGGUGAAAUUGAAUGAUUGAAUGUUGAAUUAUUUUGGUUCAGGAGUGAGCUCAGGUCUCUGGACCCUUUCCUCAUGUUGGAUGAGUUUUCAGGUCUGCUUUGCUUAAUUACUUGAAACCAAAUUCCUUGAUAUUUUCUAGAAUUAGGAUGAUGAUGGAUGAUGGAUGGUAUUUAAUUUGUUGUUGCAAAUUGCAAUGCAUGAAGUCUCAGCUCCUGCUGGAUUUCCUGAUCAUCCACACAGAGGUUUUGAGACUGUUACAUACAUGCUGGAGGUACAGACAGUACUGGAGUUAAUUAUUUAUUAUGAAUUGAAGGCUGUUUUUUGUCCUUGGUAGUCUAUUUAUUGAUGUCUGUGAAAUUCGUGGGUGGCACUGGCAGGGAUCAUUCACUCAUCAAGAUUUUUCUGGGCAUAGAGGGACUAUUCAUGCCGGGGAUGUUCAAGUAAAAUAAUUCACUCAAUUACAAUACUACGACGUUUACUUAAUUAGCUAGCUUUACUUGAUCAAAGUCAAAAACUCUUUCUUUUUUUAAAGUAAACAACAACAACAACUUGUGUGUUUUCCUGUUGGGCAGUGGAUGACAGCAGGUAGAGGGAUAGUCCAUUCAGAAAUGCCUGCAGGAGAAGGAGUCCAGAGAGGCCUUCAGCUUUGGAUAAACCUCUCUUCUCAACAUAAAAUGUAUGUUUUUAUUUCCUUUUUUGUUUGUACUUUCCAACUUCACCAUUCCAACAGUUUGUAAUAUGGAACCAACAGGAUUGAGCCAAGGUAUCAGGAACUUCUGAGGCAGGACAUCAAAAGAGCAGAGAAAGACGGGGUUGAAGUCCGAAUCAUAGCAGGGGAAUCAAUGGAAAUCGAGUCUCCAGUUUAUACAAGGACCCCAACAAUGUACCUUGAUUUCACACUGCAACCAAGGUCCCAAAUGCACCAGCCCAUUCCAGAAUUAUGGAACGCAUUCAUUUACGUCAUUGAAGGUGAGGGAGUGUUUGGGAUCCCAAACUCCUCACCAGUUGAAGCACAUCAUACACUCGUUCUAGGCCCUGGUGAAGGAAUGAGCGCCUGGAACAACUCCUCUUCCAAACCCUUGAGGUUUGUCUUGAUUGCAGGCCAGCCACUUAACCAACCAGUGGUGCAGCAUGGUCCUUUUGUCAUGAACACAGAAUCUGAAAUCCACCAAGCAAUUGAAGAUUACCACUACUCCAAAAAUGGGUUUGAAAUGGCGCAGUAUUGGAGUUCCCAAUAGGGAACAAGUAAGUGCUUGGAUCACUCAAAACCAAAUCUCCACAUUCCCUCUCAACUUUGAAGAAGAAAAGAGUAAAGAAUAAAAAUACACAUCCACAAACACUAAAGGCCACACGCAUAUGUGAGUGAUACUCAUUUGUGUUCCAUCAUGUAUUAAUUUAGCUUUUAUCCUCUUCCAACCUUUUACUAUUCCAAAUCAAAAGGUUGAUUAUUGCAUUGUCACACAAAACAAUGAUAAUAAAAAUACUCAAUUCAUAUAAUCCUUAGAAUUAAUUCUUUUCAUAACUAUAGUAGAUGUUUGAACAAGUGAGAACAAAAUAUAAGCUUAAUCUUAAUAGUAAUAUCAACGGAUAAUAGCACUGUGUGUCACUUAAUUAUUACCCAUGUCGCACAUAAACUACUUAACUUUCUACAUUGCACAUAAAGCCACUUAACUUUGCUUAUGCUUGCAACAUCCAAAUUUUCAUUCAAUUUAUGGAUAGACUGAUCGAAUUGAUGAGUUCUUAUUCGAGAUCUUCUGUAUGAAUAACCUCCAACACAUUAAAGAGAACAAUAAUUUAUAAGAACUGACAGAAUAACUUAUUACUUGUUUACAGAAAAGAAUGAUAAAAUAAAAAGGCAAGAAUAGAUUAUAAUCAUGCCUUGGACACUGCUUUCGAAAAAAUAUUUCCCGAAUUUAGAACACCAAUACAACUAAAGGUUAAUCACAAUAUUCACUCAAACUCUAGUGUAGGGCUUGAAUGUUGGAACUUGGAAACUUAUGCUAUUUUGAUUCCGAUUUUGAGAGUGAAAACAAAGUUUUCUGCCCAUAUUAAUCAACUAGGAUUUCCCUUUUUAAAGAGAACGCAUCCACUAACCAACAUCAAAUCCAGAUUCUCCUUUCUGAUGAUCAUCAAUGAUAAGCAGAUAUGGGGAAGGUGGAGUUGAGCUCCCGAUUUCUAGGAAGCCAACCAAAUACUUCUGUUAAGCAUAAGUCUUGAGUAUAUGCGGUAUGUAACUGAUCAUUACUGUUACUUCAAGUGGUUAGAUAAUGGUUACAUCAUCUUGCUGUUGUCCGUUGAUGACAUGUUGAUAGCAAGUUCUAUUGUAAAAGAAGUAAACAAGUUGAAGAAACAGUUAUCUAACAGUUUACUAUUAAGAAUAUAGGAGACGCUAAACAGAUUUUGAGUAUGUGCAUUGAUCAUGAUAGGCAAGUAGGAAAGUUUUAUCUUUCGCAAGUUGAAUAUAUCAAGAAAGUCUUGAAGAGGUUCAAAAUGCAGGAUGCAAAACUAGUAAAGAUUCCUUUGGGUGGCUAUUUCAAGCUAUUUGAGAAGGAUAUGCCUAAUAAUGAUCCAGAACGUGCCCAAAUGCACGAAACACCAUACAUUUUUGUAAUUGAUAGCUUGAUGUAUGGAAUGGUGUGCACAAUACCAGAAAUUGCACAUGUAGUGGGAGUUGUCAAUAGAUUCAUGGGAAAUCGGGGGGAAGCGAUUAAGUACUCCUGAGAUAGUUGAAGAUUACUACUAAAAGGGUCUUGGGCUUUGAGGGCAAAGUAAUGUAGUUAGAAGGAUUUGUCAUCAAGUGACCUUGAUAGAAGAAGAUGUACAACAUGGUAUAUUUUUACUCUUUGAGGUACCAUGGUUUCUUGGGCUUUUAAGUUGCACUGUCUAACACUCAAGCUAAAUAUGUUGCGGUAACGAAGGCCAGCAAAGAGAUGGUAUGGUUUUAGAAUUUCUUUGGUGAAUUGGGGAAGAAGAAAGAGGAUAGCAUAUUGUACAUUAGUCUUAUACACUUGCAAAAAAUUCAGCAUUUCAUUCAAAAUCGAAGCUCAUAUUGAGUUGAUGUAUCACUUUAUGGGUUGAUCUCUUGGAAAGGAAGAUCUUACGGCUUAUGAAGAUUCUAGGAAGUGAGAAUCCUAUGGAUAUGCCGACUAAGGUUGUAAAGUUGGAGAAGUUGACACUGUGUAUGACUUUAACUGGUUUUGUAACUGAAGUUGAAGGUCAGAUGCUGCUUGUAGUAGGAAGACGUUGAACAUGGAGAACCAAUGAGAGGAGUAUGUCUUCAGGUGGGAGAUUGUUGGGUUAUGGUGCCUAAGAAACUGAAGGCUUGGUCCAGUUAGUUUGUUUAGUUAGAUAAAAAUUAAGAUUAAUCUUGUCUAUUCUAUAUAGGAUUAGAAUUAAUAUGGUAGCUCCCUAUAAAUAAUCUAUAUUCAUAUCAUUGUAAUCUGUAUCACAACAAUAGUAGUCGAAAUCCUAACUUGGUUUGUAAAAAAAGAAAUUCUAGCGUGGUAGCGCCCUAGACAUACUCUUCUCGUGAAGAGGAACUAGGUUCUUAAUUUUUCAGUUUAUGAUUGCGUUUCAUUUUUUACAGGAACGACCAGAUCCAGCUCAGAAACUUCCUCAAGAUGGCGACGUUGAAGAAGCUCUGUCUCGCUAACGCCUAACAAUGGCUUCUCUAGACUGAUUCAGACUGUCCUCACCGCUGGAAAAGGAGAUUAGAUAGAAAUCCAUCUUUUAUUCCUCUUCAUUGUUUUUAUGACAAUUUCUUCUUUUCUUUUAUAAUAGAGAACUAUUUAUCACUUUUGUUGGACAUUUCUUGUUUGUUUCCCUCAAGAACUAAUAAUUUUGGUCAAUGGGUGACCACUGAUGAUGUUGAUUCUAUAAGCUUUAGUAUUUAGUCAAAUUCUUGAGUUUUUUUCAACUAGAAAAAAAAAGAAGAGAGGUUACAGUUUCAAUUAUUAAGUUUGAAGAAUUAAAGAAAAAAAACUAGACUACAGAUAUGAAAAGGUAAUUCUGAUAAUUUUUAUUGAUGAAUUUUUUUUUUGUAAUGAGUAAGAUAAUUUUUUAGGUUUUAUAAAUGGGUUUUUGGUUAAAAAUCUCAUUUAGAUAGAGUUUUUGAUGGGUAAUUAUGAAAUUUGACAUAAAGGGUACAUGAUUAAAAAGGUGGGAAAGGAAGAUGCGAAAAGAAGGUAAGAAGGAAUCAAUUCAUGGCAAAAAAGAAAAAUAAAUAAGAGGGAAGAAAGAAGACAUAUAUUGAUGGGAGGCGGAGGUGGGAUAGGGAGGUGAGAGAAAGAUGUAACAACAAAGAAGGGUUUAGCGAAAGGUGNNNNNNNNNNNNNNNNNNNNNNNNNNNNNNNNNNNNNNNNNNNNNNNNNNNNNNNNNNNNNNNNNNNNNNNNNNNNNNNNNNNNNNNNNNNNNNNNNNNNNNNNNNNNNNNNNNNNNNNNNNNNNNNNNNNNNNNNNNNNNNNNNNNNNNNNNNNNNNNNNNNNNNNNNNNNNNNNNNNNNNNNNNNNNNNNNNNNNNNNNNNNNNNNNNNNNNNNNNNNNNNNNNNNNNNNNNNNNNNNNNNNNNNNNNNNNNNNNNNNNNNNNNNNNNNNNNNNNNNNNNNNNNNNNNNNNNNNNNNNNNNNNNNNNNNNNNNNNNNNNNNNNNNNNNNNNNNNNNNNNNNNNNNNNNNNNNNNNNNNNNNNNNNNNNNNNNNNNNNNNNNNNNNNNNNNNNNNNNNNNNNNNNNNNNNNNNNNNNNNNNNNNNNNNNNNNNNNNNNNNNNNNNNNNNNNNNNNNNNNNNNNNNNNNNNNNNNNNNNNNNNNNNNNNNNNNNNNNNNNNNNNNNNNNNNNNNNNNNNNNNNNNNNNNNNNNNNNNNNNNNNNNNNNNNNNNNNNNNNNNNNNNNNNNNNNNNNNNNNNNNNNNNNNNNNNNNNNNNNNNNNNNNNNNNNNNNNNNNNNNNNNNNNNNNNNNNNNNNNNNNNNNNNNNNNNNNNNNNNNNNNNNNNNNNNNNNNNNNNNNNNNNNNNNNNNNNNNNNNNNNNNNNNNNNNNNNNNNNNNNNNNNNNNNNNNNNNNNNNNNNNNNNNNNNNNNNNNNNNNNNNNNNNNNNNNNNNNNNNNNNNNNNNNNNNNNNNNNNNNNNNNNNNNNNAUGGGUUUGUGGUUAAAAAUCUCAUUUAGAUAGAGUUUUUGAUGGGUAAUUAUGAAAUUUGACAUAAAGGGUACAUGAUUAAAAAGGUGGGAAAGGAAGAUGCGAAAAGAAGGUAAGAAGGAAUCAAUUCAUGGCAAAAAAGAAAAAUAAAUAAGAGGGAAGAAAGAAGACAUAUAUUGAUGGGAGGCGGAGGUGGGAUAGGGAGGUGAGAGAAAGAUGUAACAACAAAGAAGGGUUUAGCGAAAGGUGAUAUAAACAAAAUUAAUUUUGUAAGAAAAUAUUUUUUUUAAUGCCAUGUCAACUAGUUUGUAACUUUUAGUGUCCAUGUCAACAAACAAAAUUUUAUAAAGUUACCAAAAUUCAAAAUUUGUGUUACGAAAAGUAUUUCUAAUAGAUUGUGCCAUUUUCGGUAAAGGCUUAAUAGGUUGUGCAUUUAAGAAAAAAAAUAUUAUUGUGUUUCUACAAUUAACAUCAAUUAUCACCAAACCAUUAAAUACUAAAAACCAAUUAAGAUAUAGUCAUGUUACAAAAAAUGACUCUUGUUAUGAUUUUUUUGUUUAUGCAAUGAUAGGAUGAGAUUAAAAGGUUAAUUUCUUUUUCGACAAAACUUGUAAAAUAUUAUUAAACUCAAUUAGAUAUAAUAUCAUCUACAGUUGGUCAAUCAAAAAAAUUGAGGGUCUAUCCACCGAAACAAUCGUGGAGUUCCAAUGAGUCUGAUUAUACGCCAUAACAUGGGUAAGCUUGUUAACUUAUCUCCGGCCAUGACGCCAAUUACCACAAUCAAACUUUGCCAAAAGGCAACGAAUUAUGGACUAAAAUCCAUGUUCGGUAUGAUGAUCUUCCACAUGAUGCAAAGUCUCAACCAUGAUCAAGCUAUCACUUUCAAGAACCACAUUAGGAUACCUAUGUUGCAAGGCCAAUUGUUAGCAAAAUCUUGCCUCGACCGCCUCAGUUAAAGUAGGCUCAUAGCAACCCUACAAUUUCAACAUAUCCGCCAUUAAGUAAUGCCGAACGCCAUCCCAGAUAACCACCCCAAUACCCAUUCUGGAUCCUGUAAUGAUAGUUGCGUUUAAGGUAGUGAAACUGGUGAGUCAACAUGGGAUCGAAAAGGGACCUAGAAUCGUAAUCGUAAAAUCAAAUCGCAAAAUCAUAAAAUUUCACGGUUCUUCAAUAAUACUAAAUAUUCAGAAAUUCACCUUAGCAUAAAGACGUAAGUUCAUUAUCCAAUCUAAAAUUAAAAAUAAAAUCUCAAAUUCACCUUAAUAGGUUCUUCAGUUGCACUACUUUGAGCUGAUUUUCGAGUCUAGGAGACCGGAGACAAAAUCUGUGAACAAAAUUGUACAAUCUUACAACAAAAAACAAAAUACCUUCGAACAAAGAACCUAAACACCAAAAAUCCAAAACUAAUCUAACAAAAACAGAAUUAGAGAAAGGAAUGGGAUGAUGAGCAAAAUCAUGGAAUGGGAUGAUGAAGAAUCAUGGAAUCAAGGAAACAGAGAUACCUUCGAGCCGUAGGAGUGGCUGGAGCGAUGGGGACGACCAAAGAGGCUAUGACGAGGACCAUUGACUCCUGGUUCUGGUCUUCUAGACUUCUGGGGGACGACCGACGGGGGAGACGACAAGAGAGAAGACUGAGGAUCGAGCAGAGAUCGAACGAGCAAUCGACGACUUGCACAAUUUUUUUCAGAAGAUAAAUGAAUUUAAGGUUCGAUUUUUUGCCCAAAAUUGAACUCGGAUUUCCGUUUCGGUUCGAACCGAAGCAUAAAAACCAGCGGUCAGCACAGAGUAGUGGACUCGUGAAUCGUUGUAAACUCGUUCGAUUCCACGAUUUUCACGAUUUUGCGAGCGAUUUCAUGCCAUUAUAAGCCAUUUUGAUUGCGCGUGAAAUCUGACUCGACGGACCUAACAAAACUCGUAAAAUCGUCGAUUCCACUUCCUUCGUUGUGUAUGUACUGAUAUGGGGUUCCUGGUUUAGUGGUUGAACCGGGGUUGGACCGUUUUUAAACCGGGUCGGCCAUUUUAAAUAUUACAUAAAGUUAAAUCGGACCGAAAAAAUAUUGGAUUGAACGAAAUCAAACUGACAGUACAAAUAGUCAAAUUUUGAGAUUUAACCUUUGAAAAUUGAACAAUUUUAAAAAAUUUAUGUACAUUAUGAUGUUAUUCUUUUUUAAGUUUAUGUAAUAUAAUGAUAUUAUCUAUAGUUGAAGUCUUCCACACAUAUAUAUCUAGAAUGCUAAAGAAACCCUAAUGGAUCUUUCAAUCUUUCUUUAAUUGGGCUCCAACUACUCAAUACCCUCUCUCACACUUUUUUUCUCUAUAGAGAAACUCUCUCCCUUUUUCAUCAGAUUUUUUUCUCCUUGUAAUCUAAUCUUAUUUUUCUAAUAUUUUCAUUCUAUUUCUUCCCUAUUUGUCUCUUUUACUUUUUUCUUUUUGGAAGGUUAUUAGAAAAAGAGGACCACUAAAUAAUUCCGUCGACGUCCAGCAAUAGGGUUUUCCAAUUUUUUCACAGAUGGAUCCAUGUUUCCAAAGUUCUUUUGUUUUUUUUUCUGAUCUGAUAGUUGGUUCUUUAACUAGUUGAAUUAUCUGGUUUUCCGGGGAAAUCGGGUCAAUCCUCAGUUUUGUUCAUUCUCCUCAACCGCUAACUCAGUAUUGAUCAAAUGAUCGGUUCACAGUCGGACCGGCCGGGCUGAUAUGGUUUUGCUAACAUUGAUCUUAGUAGAGCCGACUAGAGGCCAUUCCAACCGAGCCACAAUGGCCUCAUACGAAAAACUCCUAGUUACCCUGAGUUCUUGAUAAUAAAUAAGAAUUGGAGUGCUUGUGCUAUGAUAUCACACUCCAAUUAGUGAAACUCAUUAAGCAUACACACAUUCCUUUCUUUCCAUCAGAAUCACAUAAGCAUUACCCAUCUUUCCAACUCCAAAUUCAAAACUUUGCGGUUGCUAAGUGAGAACCAAUCGCAUCAGUCAUUAGAAUCAUCAAAAUCAACCAGUGAUCAUGUUUAGAGUUACCUCAAAUCCGCCAAGUCCAUUGGCAAUCUCGGAAAUAGUGAAUUUGCAGGCAACCUGCAAAAUGGGCAUAUAUCACCAUGUCGAGGAUUAUGCUUAUACAUAUUAUACCUGUAGGUAAAAUUUACGAUGAAAUUUUCAUAAGAACUGCUCACCUUCGACGGAAUCUACAAUGACCAAGAACAAUUCCAAACAUCCGAGUUGCAAUUUGGAUUAAGACCCACUAAAAGAAAACCGUGUCCAUUAUUACGGAUAAAACCGGCCGUUGUCACUGAUAUUUCCAUGUCCCUGCCUCGUUGUCGCGGGAAAAUCAUCCGCGACAACGGGCGCCUUCAUAAUGAGGGGUGNNNNNNNNNNNNNNNNNNNNNNNNNNNNNNNNNNNNNNNNNNNNNNNNNNNNNNNNNNNNNNNNNNNNNNNNACGGCCGCCUUCAUAAUGAGGGUUGUGGGGACUAAACUAUCCGCGAAAAAUAGGGUUGGCGCGAACCCGUUAUGACCGGUUUGGUUCAAAUAGUUAGGUUGAAAGGCAUUUUAACAAGUUUAUCCGCAAAAACGGCAAGAGAUAUCCGCGACAAUGGCUAACAACAUUUGUUUUGCCGUCAUAACGGUUCCCCUAACGACGUUGAGUUUAUCCACGGCCAAGGUUGACAUUGUUAGUUUCUCCAUCCUACCCGUAAUGGUUGUUGUGCCAAAUACUAGGCCAUAAUAUCUGCGACAACAGCUCAAGUACUGCCUAAAAUUUUGUUAUUUUUGCUUGUUUCGUCCACUGUGGGCGCCUAAAAUAAAAGUUUAUAUAUGCACUAUUCUACACAUAACACAAUAUAUACCAAUAUCAUUAGCAUAACGAUAACACAUAUGAUCAUCCAAGAGUUAAUACUAUAACAUAAUCCAUAGAUCUACUCCAACAUAAUUCCUUGAUUUUUUACCUAACUAAAGUCAUUAGUUCACUAGACUACAUCACUAUCAACCUAGAUAUAACUACACUAGAGACUCGUCAUCCUCAUCCUCGUCAUUAUGACCAAGAUCCUUAUUAGCUCAAGUAUACAAAAGAAGAUAUAUAAAAUUGAAAUUAGGUUAAAACACAUAAAAUUAAGUAACAUGAACUUUAUAACAUAUAAAGAUUACUAAUAAUUUACCCGCCACAUCGUAGUCGUAGUUCUGUUGGAUGUGGUUAUAUUAUAUUAACCGCUACAAUCGUCGUUACGGAUCAUUAUCCGUGUCCGACGAUGACCUAACCGUGACACCCGUUAUCGCGGAUAUUAUCCCCCAUAACUAAUCUACGUCAGACAUCAAAUUUUGUUGUAGUGGCCAAGCUAUUCUUUAAAGCUAGUCAGCCAGUUUUAAUACCCCUAUUUUUUCGAAUAAACAGCUUUACUACUUGAAAUCCAAAUAAGCAUUCCGAUUCUUGAACAUCGCAAUGAAUAAUUUGCACGAUAGAAGUUGAUAUAGUUGACCAAAAACAGCUUUCAAUAAGAGCAGUAUUCUACUGAUAAGUCGUUCGAUUAACCAACUCACGAACUGUAGCAUCAACAUCAAACCUCAUCGGCGUAGAGGUCACAAAAUUACCGGGUACUAACGGAAGCCAUCCGUCUCCCCAAAUUCUAACGGACAUACAAUUUCCCACCCACCACCCAAGGCCACUCCAUACAAAACAUUGAGCACCAAAAAGGCUAUGCCAUAUAAAGCUAAACCCAACUCAGCUUUAAAGACAUAAUAGAAUUUUUAAAAUACUUAGCUUUCAUAAUUCUUACAAUAAGGGAAGAUGCUCUUGAGUGUAAGUUCCAAAGAUGUUUAGCAAGUAAAGUAAUGUUAAAGCCUAAAAAAUCACAUAAUCCCAUCCUAGCUUCGGAUUUCAAACUCAAUAGAUAUUCUUGACAAAAUGAGGGAUGAGCACUGGGUCGGGUCACCCAUCAAAACCCACCCGCCUAUAAUCACUCUCUACCACUACUACCCUUUUCCCCAUCACCAUAAAACUUUGCAUGCUUGUUUGUGUGUUUUUGUAGUUUUUUUGUGUGUUUUAUGUCGCUUUUCAUCGUUUGAGUAGAGAGAGAGAGGGAGAGAGAGAGGGAGAGAGAGAGAGGGAGAGAGAGUAUUUCAAGGGUUGCAUGUCAUACCAAUGAUUAAGAAUGCAUGAUAGAAGGUCUCGAUUCAAAUUAGGGUUCGGUCGGUGUCUGAUCGAAGGACGAAUGAUGCUUGCAUUAUUUUAUUUUUACUGAAAAAUUGGGCUUCUGGAGCAGCCUUUAGAUCAAUCUCAAGGUGUGUGGCUUUGCAUAGUGUGUGUCGUUUCCUUAAGUUUCUCUCGAUAGAAAAUCGAGUUUAUGGCGUGUGAUCCCACAUGCCAUGUGACUGAUUUUUGACAAAACGAACCGACCAAAGAACAACCAAAAACCCAACCGGCUCAAACCGUAAUGAACCAGAUUGAUUUUCAAACCGAUUUUCAACCAAAUCAAACUGAGUUUGACCAGACGCAUUGACCCUUCGUUGACCGGCCGUUGCCCCCGUUGACCGGUCACCAUGGAAGAAAAAACAUGGCAGUUUAGUAGUAUUUUGGGCAUAACAUUUUGCUCGGGAGUCUGAUUGACACAAGGUCAGUGACGUUGGAAACUUGUUCAGUUGCCUACAACUUUGAUGUCAUGAUGUGGCCUAAAUCCAUGCAGUUUGUGCUCAUUUUUCUUGGUUUGGAUUGAUGGAAUUUGAGAAAGUUUGAAUUGUGGUCUUGUUUGGUUUGAUGAUUUGGUGCGAUCGUGAUCAAUUUCUUGAUAGUAUUAUAGUGAUAUGUUCAUUGCAAAUGCUAACGUUUGGGAUGGUUGUCCAAAAUGGAUAAUUCUAGCUUUGCAAUGUGAAGAUUGCUGGAUGUUGAGACGUGAUCACUUUGUCACUCUUGUAUCGAUGGCAUGUUGUUGAUUUUCAUGAGAACUUGGAAUGGCAUCAUGAUGCUUCAAAGUGUGGUUGAACGUAGGUUGUUACUAGGCCUGAGAGUCGGUUAAUUUGGUUACUAACCAUCUGCUUAAUGUUCGGGGAAAAUGAUUUGGAGAUUAAAGUUGGUUAAUCGGUUUAACUGACCGACCAUAUGUAAUGGUUAAAAAGCCGACCAAUAACUGAUAAAUCGGUUAAAUAACCAAUUAUUAACCAACAGAUUAGUCGGUUAAUCCUAUGAACUGACUUUGAUUGAUUGACCGACUAUACCGACUUAACCUAACAAGAUCUGAAUCUCCAUGCUCAUCUCUGCCAUCGAGUGAGCCACGUUCUGCUCAUGAUAACCGUUCGUCCAAGCAUUCAUACUCUACUAAGAAAGCUUGCCAUGGCCGCCACUCUGAACACCGGUCAAAGAACUGAAUACUUGUUCCAAGAUCCGAACUUCCAGAACCGUCUCCAAUCCAUCUUCCCAAUUGUAGUUUGGACAAAGUUUCCUCAUCUGAAUUUUUACUCAAUCACACAACUACAACCUACACGACAACCAUAAUCAAUAGAGUGGAGGGGGAUAGGAUGAAACAGAGGACUGGUUGAAAUUAUAUGGGCCUAUGUUGCAUCCUCAAUAGCUCGUCGUCGCCAAGCCUCACUGAGCCGUCCCCGAGAGAGGAAGAGACGUAGAGUCUAGAGAUCGUGCUUUACUAGUGCUCAACACUCAUGGAGCCGUCACUGAGAGAGGAACAUAAUCCCUAAUGAAUCGUGAAAUCGAGAAUGAACGGGGAUAAGUGAAUAUGUUUGUGUGUGUGUGAGUUUGACCUAAAAAUGGGGGGAUUGGGAAUACGACGUAGACAUUUGGGUUCAGACUUGGGGUUCUUUUGACCGAUUAAUGUUGGUUAACACAAGUUAACUGACGGGUUUUAACCGAUUCACCGUUUAACUGAAGUCAGUUUUUCUCUUUGACCGUCCCCCAACCAACCUGUAGCUCGAUUAAACCUUCCUCUAACUUAUUCGGUCGGUUAAUCAAUUUUAAACGAUUAACCGAAACUGAAUUCCUACCCUUAGUUGUUACUAGGUGCUUUUGUUGCUCCCAAUUGAUGAUUUGUGAUUAUUUCCAUGCUCAUUUAAUUUGCUUCCAUUGCUCAUAUUUUGUCCUACCAUUACCCUUGAUGACUCAUUGGUUACUCACUGUUUUGGUAAAUGGUUCAAAGAAGCAUGAGGCAUAUUACUAGUCCAUUUGUUCCUGUAAUGAUAUAUCUUUGACCUCACCUUUUGGUAUAACUUGAAUGAUGCAUACGUUGUCACUUCAUGCUUUGCAUACACUCUUUAUGCUCGUUCUUGUUCAUUGGACUUGGUCAACAUUUGUGAGGAUUUCUUUGUGGCAAUUGAUGAUAAAUGAGUUAAGGUGGUCCCAUAGCUUUUGCUUACCCUUGUCUUACUAAUUUAUGAAUUAUAGGAUGCUCUUGUUUAGGAUUGCUAGUUAGUCUUGCUUGAGAAUAACUAGUUAUCUUCUUCAUUGGUUUUGCCUUUCUUUUACAUCUUGCCUAUGCCAUGUCUACUUAUGAGCUAUUUAUUGCCUAUCGUUGCCUAAUUCGAUUGGAUGCUUAUUGAGGUGGUUCCUUAGUGGCCGUAGGAUUAUGGGUUGACACCUCUACAUGCUUGAUGUGUAUGAUUAUUCUCCAUUUCGAAAUUUUCAAUGAUACUUUAAAGUCAAAUUUGAAUGCUCUUUACAAAUGUGUCAAUUUUGGCACAGUUUUCAAGGAUUCAUCAUUUAGUGUUUAUAAUUCAUUUUCGUUUUAAAUUUUCGUUUCCCACAUUUACUUUUCAUGUUUUGUUGCUUUUAUUGUUUUAAAUUUUAUUAUUUUUAUUUUAAUAGGCUUACUUUCCUUGUAUAUCCCCAAUUGUAACUUGGUAUCCGUAUUCUCAACUAAAUCAACAAAUGACACCAAAUAACUUAAAAUUGAGAACUAUAAGAGCUCAAAAGAAGGAGAUUUAGCAGAGUCUCUUAUAGGUUUCAAAAAAGCGAGGAAGGAUCUUCAAGUGGAGAGGACCCUUUCUCCUCCCUAACUCCAAUGGCGAACAAAACUCUAGCAUUAGACCACCUAAAGUCAGACGAUAAGCCAUGCAUUCAUCUCGUGGACUUUAUCUUCUAUUGCGACACCAUCAAGCUACACGGUGUUUCUGUUGAGGUUCACAUCGUGUUCCCCUUGAGUUUCAGCAACCAUCCACUCCAAGCACCUUAAAUCAUCCGUCUUAGUUUCUGCUUGUCCCCAAACACCGUACAUCGCAUGUACUUCGUGAUUUUUCCAUUCUUUGAGGCAUUUAGCUCCUCCUUGUACAUCAUACAGUUAUGAAUAAUGCCUCGACGUUGUUGUGUGCCUGAAAUUGAUAAAAAACACAACGCAACAACAUCAAAUGGACCCCAAACGGGUAUGAGACACUAAAUCGAGAUAGAAGUUACAAAUGCACAAAACAUCAUGUCGUGAAUGUUUCGAUCCGCGACACCGAUGGCUUGAAAUAUUUCAGAGUCGCCACCAAUCUGUUGAAGCGGAUUGGACGCUGUCGACAUAACCCAGGUCCUUUUGGACGUGAGUUAGAACAGGUCUGCGGAACAGAGAUCCUGGAUUCGAGAGGCGGUUACGUGCAGGGAAGGAUUAGCACCCCCAUAGCGCCCGUCAAACCGGUACUACUAAAUUUGAUAAGUUAUGUUUUAUUUUCUUAGUUUAGUGGUUUAAUUAUGCUUUAGUUUGGACGCAUAAGGUUAUGUAAAUUUUUUAGAGAAUAUUUUUAUUCAAUUGUAAGUCUUUAUGAGUUCCCACUCUUGUGGAAAUUUUUUUUUAUGUUGAUAAAUAUUUUGAGUUGAACAUUCUUAAUUUAAUUGUUUGGAUUUACGAAUUCCCAUUCUUGUGGAAAUUUUGUUUUACGCUGGUGAAUAUUUUUAAGUUGGUUAUUUUUAAUUUAUAUGUUUGGACUCAAGUCUUACGACUGCCUACGUACCUAAUUCUUUGGGAUCAAAGAUCAUGUAGUUCGUUAUGGAAAAGUUGAUUUGAGGAUUUUUUGUAAUUUUUACUAUUAUAAAAACCACGUUAUCAUGCUCAUUUUUUAUUUGAAAGACAUUUAUUUGGUUAUUUCAAAGUUGGAACUUUAUUUGCCCACUUAUGAUUAAAUGAUAAUUCUACAAAAUUCGAAACUCUUGUCACGGAUACGAAAUUCAUAUAACAUUGCUAUAAUAUCUUUAAAGGAUUAUUAUUAAGGAAAUUUCACAUUUUUUGCCAAUCGAAAAAUUAAUUGGUUUAUAUCAGUUAACUUAAUUUGACAUAAUUAAAAAUGCAUUACAAGACGGUUAACGAACUUACAUUUAAAUAAAUAUGUCACAAGUAUUUUUGGUGAUUUGACAAUUCUAUUGUGGUUAUGUUAAUGUUAAUUAAAAUGAUACGUUGAUUUGAAUAAUUGUAAAGUUUUGAGUUUUUAAGUUUACAACUUUAAGGUAUAAAUAUCAAAUAGGAUUAAAGAAGGUAUGACGUUUAUUCUGUUAUUCUUCCACACUUAUUUCACUUUUAUUCCACUCUUAAUAUGGCCUUAAUGAUAUAUGAAUAUAAUUGAAUCGACUAAAGGCUUGGCCUUUCUAAAUUAAUUGUGCCCAAGCUCGAGCUCGGCCCAACCGAACGAUGAGCCGAACCGGCGGGUAAGAGGAGGGCAGCCCGCGUGCCAAACUGGUCGAACCGGUUAUCCACGGUUCGAUCAGAAAACUCAAAAAGAUGAAAUUGCCCCUAGCGUUCCGUGCGCUGAAGAAGGGUGGCAGGGGAAAUUUUGUAACUUCACCUUAAACCUAAUCGGCCUUAUAAAAGGGCCUCUUAAAUCGAGAAAUGACUCAUUUGCAACUUCCCACUCUCUCUUUAUCAUCCCUCUUUCUAAACCGCCGCCCUUCUCCCCCCCCCCCCCCCCCCCCCCCCCACCCACCUUUAUCACGGAGUGUGCUGUUUUUUUCUAGUUCCUUUCUCUUCUUCUCAGCCGCCCUUUUUUGCCUCCUCUUACCUCUCAGGACCCCUCUUUCUACCUCCGUUUUUUCGAUUUUUCCAGAUUUGGACUUGCAUGUCAUCGGAGGAUACUCCGGUGAGUCCUCCGGCAAAAUGCAAGUCUCGAUCUGUAGAUCUAAUGUUUUAUUUUGGUAUUAAACAAUUUUGGUUAUUUGAGGGUGGUACCGACGGGGGUGGCGGGGAGGUAGAGAAAUGGAAAAAAGAGAAAGUUAGGUAAGUAAGAUUUCUUCCCUAUUCCUUUUGAUUAAUGUCUGGUUAAUUGCUAACGAAGCUAACUACCGGUUUCUUUGAUGACUUUUUUUAUGUCUUUGAAAAUGGGCAUAGUCGACAUGUUUUGGAAAAUGAGAGGAAAAGGAGAAGAUUGCUUUUAGGAGGUAAGACAGCUAAUUUUGAACCCAUUCUAAUUUUUCUAGGUAGAAGUAACAAUUCUAUUUGUUGAUAAGUUGCAUAAGAAACUAGGUUUGUUUUGUUACUGAAGUUGUAGUAGUAGUCUAGGUGUUUUAAAAAGUUUUGUUUGAAAAACUUUAUUUUUUUUACUAUUGUUUAAAUUUUUUUAGCAACAUUGUUUAUUCCAAAAAUCCGUAUUUUAACUCGAUUUUACUAUGAGUUUCAUAGUUCUUUAGGUCUUUGGUGCGAAAAUGAUGAAAGAUGGCUAUAGGUUUCGUUGUUAAUACUUUCCAAUAACUUUUAGUUCAUUUUUGAAGCUUAUUUGAUUGAUUUGUUGGUUGUUUAUUAAAAUGAAUCAUUUAUUUGAUUAGUUGCAACGAAUCAUUGGGUUCAAUAGUAGUUUAGAAGGUUGCUAAGUGAUAUAGCAUAACAAUGUAUAUGUAUGAAUGAUGUGUGAAUGCUUCAGAAUAGGGAUGUUUUGAAUGAUUACCUUCAUUCAAAAUUUCUCUUUUAUCGUAUUUCAGGUGGCGGCGCCUAUCGUGAGUGACGUCAAACCGAUUUGGCGGCUUCUAUGUGUAUGGCGACAAAAGAUGUUGUAAAACUUAUUUUUUUACAGUUUUGUAAUUAUUUCCCGGGACUUUGAACGAGUGAUGUUGGUGUAUUAUUUUUGGGGGUUUUGGGAAGAACUGGGGGACGAAUUUUGAAAACUGUAAGCUCCUCUUUUUGCUGAUUUUUGUCAGUCCAUUUAAAUGCAGAAAGGGCUACAGUCACUUCUUUUAACCAACCACAUCUUGCAAAGUUUUCUGACAAAAAUAAAAGGUGGCAGCUCCCCAAAUAAUAACCGUAACGGGCCCGAUAUUGGGCUUGAAAUAAGGCCUGGAAUCGGGCCCGAAAUCAAAUUGGGUCUAACACAUAAAUAGUUUCGAGAUAAGGGAUUUUGCCGAAUUUCGAGAUAGCGGACUUGAGGUCCACUCAUUUCGGCCGUUUCCGUUUAAAAAGAUCUAAAACAAAAUCGGCUUAGAACAGUCUGUAACAUAAUAAUUACAUCUCGAAAAUAUGCUAUUUGGCUACCAAGUUCUCCCCUAACGUGCACUUUGAUUAAUUUAACUGAAUAAACUUCGCAACAAGUAAAAUCUCGACGCUAAAUCCUUCCUAGAGAUGCUACGACUAUUUAGUGAAAUGACACUGGCGUGCAUUCUUCACUCGAACGAAAUUUGGUUACUACAGUUGUCCCUCUUUGUAUUACUUUCGCUUGGAAGUGGAAAGUGGUACAAAGACAGAAACCAAAUUUCGGACGAGCGCCUGAACUUCUCACGUCAAGUCCACUAGGGUCCAAGGAUCUGCCACAACAUCGGGUAGAAAACAAAAUUUGCAACCUGACCACACAAACAACAUGCAAUGCAUUUCCCUAUGGGUGUUAGGGUGAAUGUACUAGGGACUCAGCUUGACUUAUCUCCCGUUCCAUGGGUUGACUAUACUAGGGACUCAACUCGACUUAUCUCCUGUUCCAAGGUGCAAUCCGCUUUCCCCAGGAUGCUAAGGGUUGAUGUACUAGGGAUUCGACUAGACUUAUUUCCCGUUCCAACGUGCGAUCCGUUUGCCUUAGGACGCUAAGGGUUGAUGUACUAGGGAUUCAGCUUGCUUAGUUCCCGUUCCAUGACUACAAAUGUGUUGAUGAUGAAUGGUUUCGAAAGAGUUUGAGUAAGGCUCCCCCUUUUUGAAAAAAACAUGCAUCUGAUGGCAAUGCUUGAUUGAUAUUUUUCAUCAUUUUCACUCCGACGAGAUUCACUGUUUUGUUUUCUUGUCGCUUAGUUCGCACUACGUGCUAGCGCAAUGGUGUCAACCCUGCUGAUAGCUGGGUAACCUUUAAUGUAUGUGCCCAUUUUUCUUUGUUUUUCCCCCGACGUCUUCAUAUUAUUCCCAUGCCUUGGGAUUUUAAGGAUCUCUUUCCUACUUUGUCUCUACUUCUAGAUAUAAUGGUAAGAUAACGACGACCUUUGUAAAUUUCUUUCUUCGGUUAGGAAUAAGUGGAGAAAUCCUGCCAUCCGGGCUUCUUUUCUUUAACCCUUCCCUUUUACUAAUUUUUUCAUUCUUUCAACGGUUUUCAUUAUUAUUACUAUUAUUUUUCUCCCUUUUGUCUUCACUUUACCGCUAAUUUCAUUUGAAAAGACCUCCUAAUGAUUAAUUAGAGCGAAGGUGUUUGCACGAACGCAUUUGCCUCAAGUUCCUGUGGGGUGUUGUACCUCAUCCAUUUUGUUUGGUGAUGCGUGAACAAUGGUUAGGAGAGUAGUAUUUGAGAAUUCAUGAAGUAUCCAAAACUUAAAGUUGACUUAAAUUAUCACUUUAUUGAUGGAAAACCGAUCACGUAGAUCUCCGUCAGGAACUUUAAGCAUAGUACUUGUUUACUGAAUAAGAGUUAAAUAGGUAAGGGAGCUUGUCUCCGUCCAUGUUUGCCAGUAUUAAUGCCCCCCUGAGAAAGCCCUUUCCCCUACAUAGGGCCCUUCAUAGUUCGGCUUCCACAUUCCUCUUGGGUCCCCUUGUCAAAUGGAAAUCUUCUUCGUUACCAACUCUCCUUCGCGAAAUUCCCGUGUUUCACUUUUUUUUAAAAGAUCUGAUAAAUCUGCACUGAUACAGGCGUUAGUGGUGGAUAGCUGCCAACCUUUUCUCAUCAAUUUAAUUUAACUGGUCGUAUGCCGCUUUUACCUACUCAACUUGUUCUAACUUCGCCUCCAUGAUAACCCUUAGUGAAGGCAUUUCUACGUCCAUGGGAAGCACUGCCUCCAUCCCAUAGACCAAUUGGUAAGACGUCGAUCCCGUUUAGGUUCUUACUGAUGUUCAGUAACCGUGCUGGGUAAAUGGUAGAAUUACGUGCCAAUCGCGGUCGGUAACGACCAUUUUCUGUAUGCUUUUCUUGAGGUUUAUUGUUUGUCAGCUCGACCGCUCCGUUCAUCUUUGGUCGGUAUGGUACCGAGUUGUGGUGCUUAAUCUUAAACUUGUUGCAAAGCUCAUGCAUCAUCUUGUUGUUGAGAUUUUUCGCAUUGUCGAUUAUUAUUCUUUCCAGGAGCCCAUACUAGCAAAUGAUUUCCUUUUGUAUGAACUUUUUGACAACGCUCUUGGUAGUGUUUGCAUAUGACACAACCUCGACCCAUUUCGUGAAAUAGUCGAUGGCUACUAGGAUGAAACGGUGCCCAUUAGAUGCUUUUGGUUCAAUCAUGCCUAUGACCUCAUGAUGCAAAAGGCCAAGGCGAUGCCAUAAUGUGCAACGAUGAUGGAGACACGUAUUUCUCACCGGCAUAAACCUGGCACUUAUGGCAUUUUCUCACGUGUUUUACAUAGUCAGAGUUCAUCUUCGUCCAAUAGUAACCCAUCCUUAAUAUCUUCUUAGCUAGCGCAUGACCACCGACAUGUGUGCCGCAGACUCCCUCAUGGACUUCUUUUAUUGUUCUCUGAGAUUCAGGGGCAGCUACACAUCUUUGCAGCACAAAAUCAUGGCUUAGUCUGUAGAGGGUAGUCCUAUGAACAUAGUAACCCAUCUCCAAUCUCCGUAGAGUCCUUUUAUCAUUUUCAGAUGCCCUAGCUGCGUACUCCCUUUUAUGUAGGUAGGUCUUUAUGUGAUGGUGCCAGGGAUUCCUCAUGCUCUUUUUGGACUCUACCUAGGUAGGCAGGUGCAUUUUUCUUUUUGAUUUUGCUUCAUGGGUUAACCUCGGUCUCGUCCAGUUUGUACAUCGAGGACAAUGUGGCGAGAGCAUCCGCUAUUUGAUUGUCGACUCGCGAGAUGUGCUCAAACUGUAUCGACUCAAAUUUUGCGGCCAUUUCCCCUAUGUAUUUAUGGAAUGGGACAAGCUUAUGACCCCUAGUUUCCCAUUUUCCUUCAACUUGUAUAUUACUAGCGCUGAAUUACCAUAUGCCUUCAAAUUCUUAAUAACCAUUUCGAGGGCUCCUCGGAUCCUGAAAGUGCACGAUUGGCACUCUGUUAUGUUGUUGGUGCAAUCGAAGCAAAUUUUGGCAGUAAUAGGGCACACCCUCCCUUCAGAAGAGACAGAAACGACGCCGACGCCCUGUCCCAAUGAGUUUGAGGCCCCGUCAAACUUCAUCACCAAUGUUUUUUGGACGAAGCCUUCCACUAAUUUCUCAGUGUUCAGUAUAGUUUCAUCCGGAAAUUCCAUUAACAUCGGAUUCGUGUCCGAGAUUGCAUGCUCCGCUAGAUGUUCUGCCACUACACUCCCUUCAAUGGCCUUCCUUCGGAUAUAAACGAUGACGUAUUCUGCCAGCAGCACUUGCCAUUAGCCUAUCCAUCUGGAGAGGGCCAACUUUUCGUGGACAUCCUUGAUAGGGUUCAUUUUUUAUAUUAGGAGCUUCGUGUGAUAUAACAUGUACUAUCUCAGCCUUAUGGCUACCCAUACAAGUGCUCCGCAAGUUUUCUCGAGCGAUGUAUAUCGAGAUUCGUAGUCAUGAACUUCUUGCUGGUGUAAUAUAUUGGCGCGCUCUUUCCUUCCCGAUUCAACAUGUUGGGCCAACAUCGCGCUUACCAAAUUUUCAAAUACCGUGAAGUACAAUAUUAGUGACCUUCUAGAAGUUGGUGGGGCCAGAACCGGAGGGUUUAAUAAACACCCUUUGACUUUCCGAAAGGCAUGAUGACAACCUUCAUCCCACUCGACAUUCCGGUUCUUCUUUAAAAGCUUGAGAAUGGGUUCACACGUUAAGCUCAAAUGCGAUAUGAACCGACUAAUGUAGUUCAAGCGUCCUAAGAAUCCUAGCACCUCUUUAUGCAUUUAGGGAGGAGGUAUGUCAACCAUUGCCUUCACUUUGUCAGGGUCCACUUCAAUCCCCUUUUGGCUAACCACGAAACCGAGCAGCUUCUCCGAGGUGACUCCGAACGUACACUUUUCUGGGUUCAGCCAGAGCUGGUACUUCCCGAGUCGCUCGAGCAAUUUUCAUAGCACAGUUACGUAGUCGUCUUCCUUUUAUAACUUUGCUAUAAUGCCAUCCAGAUAUACCUAUAUUUCUUUGUGUAUCAUGUCAUGAAACAGUGUGACCAUGGCCCGCUGGUAAGUUGCCCUAGCGUUCUUCAGCCCAAAAGACAUAACUUUAUAGCAAAAGGUUCCCCAUAAAGUGAUGAUGGUCUUUUUUUCUCGAUCAUCCGAAACAUCCUGAUAUGGUUGUAUCUUGAGAAACUGUCCAUGAAAGAGAACAUAUUAGUUGACGGUAUUAUCAACGAGGACAUUUAUGCGAGGCAAAUGGAAGUUGUCCUUUGGGCUUGCCCUAUUUAAAUCUCUGUAGUCUACGCACAUUCUCAUUUUUCCAUUCUUCUUAGGCAUAGGGACCAUAUUAGAGAUCCAAUCGGUGUAUUACGCCACCUGUAAGAACCCGAUUUCGUAUUGUUUCUGCACUUCUUCCUUAAGUUUGAGUAUCCAUUCCGGUUUCAUCCGCCAUAACUUUUGCUUUACUGGCUUGCACUCCUCCUUUAUUGGCAAGUGAUGUGUUACUAUUGUUCAUCGAGGCCCAACAUAUCUUGAUAAGACCUUGCGAAAACGUCCUAGAAGUUCUGGAGUAGUUUGACGAGCCUGUUCUUUUCUGCUUGGUCUAAACUGUCCCCUACCUUAACCUGUCGCCGAUUGUCCUCUGUUCCCAAAUUCACGACCUCUACUGACUCGUAGAAAGGUUUCAAGGAUCGCUCUUCUUAUCCUGCCAUCCAAUCUGUUUCUAGGUUAGAACCAUCACUGGCUUCCUCGGUUUCCAUCUCAUAAACUGGGUGGUGAAAGUCAACUUUAGUGUUUCGUACCUCUUCAUUGUUUUCAAACACAUCUGUAACCCUGUUACGUGACGGGAAAUAGAAAAGGGAAAAAGAAGAAAAGCGGAAGUGAAUAAUAUAGACGAUGCACGGAUUGAGACUUAUGAAAACAUGCUUUAUCAAACAUGUGAAAAUGUGAUACAUGCAUUCAGGAUCACUUAAAAAACACUAGGAAGCCCUUGCUUAUUUUAUUUAGUAGUCAUAUUUUAGAGUUAUUACAUCUGCAAUGGCGAAAGUAACUCCAAAGCCUCCCAAUUGCUUAGCUCUUCCUUUGGACGGAGCUGCCGCACCCAUUUUAUUCCGGUCAUAAUUCCCGUACCCAGCAUGCUGAUGAAGAGAUCUGCAAAAUCCGACUGUAACUCUUUGGUGGUCGGAUCAGUGUAGUUUUUCCUCACAUUUAUCUUUCCAGCAUUCUUGCUUGUGAUGUGAGGUAUGAAAGUCAGGCCUUCAUCAUCUUCUGUCCCACUUAACCUGGACACCCUCCUCCUUAUCCGUUCCUUUUGGAUCCUCCUUAUAUCAUCAUCGUUUAGAAUGUAUCGCAAUCCCGCACGGUUCUUAUUUUCUUUGACCUGGAUGGGUUCUUUCAGCACCUCCUGCCAUUAGUAUCAUAGAUUCCAUACUCGAUAUUAAUCUAACCGAUGUCUCGAGACUAAUUAGAGUUAAUUACCAAGUGCAUUAAUAUAGUACAAUGAUUAAUCUGAAAAUUAAUUCCAAAGCGGAUCGACAUUCCGCCCCUCUCUCAAGUGUAGCGGAGACGACGAUAGACCUUGGCGUUUGGGGAUUUAGUCUCACUUUCGUAUCUAAACCAAAUCCCAACAAUAAUCUUACAACUGGAAUUCGACAAUUACAAAAUAAAGCAGUAGCUAUAUGCAAGAGAAAGACAAUAACGAAAUUAAUGAUAGUUCCGCUUAACACAAUCGAAAUUAUGUCGUAUUAACACAUAAUCAAGGUUUCAUCAAUUUCGGACAGACAGCUUAGUUACACAUGGUGAUCAAAUUAAAAACACAGAAAUCAAGAUAAUACAUGAACCUGGAGCUCCAUGCUUCAUGAACGCUCUGCCGUCGUAAAAUUCAGCAAUGUAGGCGGUCCGAACGGAAGUUCCGAAAUGGAUUUCUUCACCUUCGGAGCUCGAAAUUGCAUGCGGUUUGAAGUGGCAUGUUCCUGGGUUGAAGAAGGACGUCUUGGGGCAGAGUAGGAAGGCUUGCGGGUCUGAUAUGGUGUGUGUAUGGUGUGAUUUCGAAGUGGACAUGACUUGCCCUUAUAUAGGCUCGAAAAAUGGCGUAUUAAGGCCUCCGACAUGGGCAUACCAACUCCAUCAUCUGUAUGCAAGCUGUAGCUGUCCCUGGACUGAUGAUGGACGGAUCUACAUGUGCUGGACGUCCUCAACCAUGCCCGGUUAUCCUUCCGGCGAUCGGUUGAGCGGUGGAUUGUAAAACGGGUCGUAACUUCUUCGUUGCAAAUCUGAUUUAGCUCCGGUUUGUAUCGUUGGAUUUUUAAUUCAUCCCUUUAUAAUACGUGACCUGAAAUUUUAUUAAACACACUAGAAGAAAUAUAAAAUUGGACCAUAAAGGUCCAAGGGUUGAAUUUACGGAAUUAAGUGCAAUAUAACUGAUAUCCGUCGAAACUUUUGUUUGCAAUUGAUAUUAUGACUUGAAGUGUAGAAAGUUUAGUGCCAAAUAUUACGGUAUGUUAUGAUGUGAUCAAAAUACCCCACACUUAAACUUUUCUUGUCGUCAAGAAAACUGUAACUUAACCCACACGAAAUACCAAAGAUAGUUACCAUCAUUUAUACAAGGUUUAGGAAAUGUAAUUUUACAAUUUACGAUGCAACAGAGGUUAAAUGCUUGGCCACAUCGGUGAGAUAAAUCUCUAGUUAGAAAUUCACGAGACAGUGCACACCAGAUUAAUCAAGAUUCAAAUGCUAAAAAUAAAAGGGUUAAAUGCAUUUGUUGCAACUAUAAGAUUCAUUUUGCGCUUCCUUACGAAAUUAUGAAAUUUUAUUUCUUUUUUAAAGUUUCAAAAUUUUGAAUAACCCGUAGCCGAGCAAGACUAGUGAGUACUAUACUCAACCUUUUAACACAUUUCAUUCUUCCCACACACACCUCAAUUAAGUCCCGUAUGGGAGGCAUCUAAACUGGCUGCCUAAUUGGCAGGGCAGCUAAUGCAGAGGUGCUAGUCCUCUACCACACGCGUUAAGUUAAUCAUUGAAUUAUUGAGACAAAUUAAAGAAGCAUUUUGAUUUAAACAUUUUUUUAUGGCGAAAGUUGAAUCCAGUUUUGAAUUUGCAGAUUUAAACCAAACAUUUUAAGCAUUUGCAUCAAUUAAUCCGAGAUGUACUAAAUACAAAAAUGAAAGUCUAGUAAAAACAAGUGGUCAUUCCGCAACAACUACCAUGUCACCCAUAAUCGUUACAUUCCCAUUGUCUAUUUUAAUGUGAUCCCUAAAUUGGUAGAUGUGUAACCGCUAGUACUGUUUGUGAGGAGAUUAAAGUAAAGUACGGAUGAAAUGUUGAAAAAAAUUUAAAACACCUCUCGUUACACCAUCACCCAACACUUGAAUUAUACAUUGCCCUCAAUGGACUAUGAAUCUGGGAUAAGAGGGAAACAAGUAUACCGAGAUAUCGAGAAUGACAAUGCCAAAGUAAACUGCUCUAUAAUACCUGUCUGUCGGAUGAUAACGGUAACACAGUGAUAACAAAACAAAACAAAACUCAAAACACAUUUGGCAAAUGCCACAACUAAAAAUCAUACUAAAUCACACCACACAAUGAUGCAGAUCCAAGAUAAAUAUAUUCGAAAAUGUUAAUAUUUUGAAAUACAUCAAAAAGAAGAAGAGAAAAAUACACAUCCUAGAUCGAAAAAUCAAUCAUAACUAUCGGAUCAUAUUCAAAAUUUUGGGCAGAGUCAAGAUGAUUUUAAGGGUCUUGGAUGAUUUUAUUGAAUGAAAUAAGAAACUUGGGUUGUCUCCCGAGGACCACUUUUUUAUCGUCUUUAAGUUAGAAGUUUCCAAGAAAAUUAUUUAAUUAGCCAGGUGAAACACCUCAUGGAUGGUGAGAGAGUCGCUCGCAAGGUAGAGUUUCAACCGAUGACCAAUAACUUUAAACAUACCAUGAUCAGGGCUCGAGAUUUCAACAAUUUCGUAAGGAAGAACUUCAGUCACUGUGAAUGGGCCCAACCAAUGGGAUUUAAUUUUCAUGGAAAGAGGCGAAUCCUAGAAUUAUAUAGGACUAUGUCUCCCGGACGAAAGUGUUUUCCAGGUUUUAACCUUGCGUCAUGAAGACGCUUUGUCUGUUGCUUAUACAAAUUGCCAUUUUAAUAGGCAUGAAGAUGGAAUUCCUCCAGUUCAUGUAUGUGGAACUGAUGGCGAGGUCCAGCGACACUCAUAACAAGGUUUAGAGAUUUAAAGGCCCAUAAUGCCUUAUUCUCUAACUCAACAAGCAGAUGUCAUGCCUUUUCGUAGAAGAGACGGUAAGGGGUAGUGCCGAUAAGAGUUUUAAAAGUGAUAUGCCCAAAGUGCAUCGUCCAACUUUUUUUACCAAUCCUUGCGAGUCCAGGUGACAGUUUUCUCCAAAAUCUACUUAAGUUCUCGGUUCGUUACUUUCGCUUGACCACUAUUAUGUAGGUAGUAACCAGUGGACAGACGAUGAGUGAAACCAAAGCGGCGACACACAUGAUCAAACUGUCCCUGACAGCGGGUUCCUCGAUCGCUGAUGAUAGUGCGAGGUGCUCCAAACCGAGUGAAAAGUAGUUGCACAACUGGCUUAUAAGCUAGCCUCUUCCAUAAGAACUUUGUGGGUAAAAAAAGAGGGAGAGAUGCUUCGAAUAUCAUAGAUUUUCCAAGAAAUGGCCUUAAUAUGCUCUUUUAAAAGGGUGAUGAGACGUCCCUUUUAUUCCGGAAUGAGGGAGGCAAUGAUACUGACUAGAAGCUUCGAGUAAUCCAUCAGAAAAGCAUACUUGAGGUGCUCCGGUAGUGCUUUCAUCUUCAAUAUUGGAGGCUCCUCAUAUGAGGGUUUGACGGGCUCAAUCCUUGAGAGCUUGACAGGAGGUUCAGGAGCAGAGUCUUAGCAAUCUGCUCAAGUUGUUGUACCUCAUCAGAAGCAUCCCAAACACCAAAAUAAAAGGCACAACUCGAGAGGGUCUUAGCAAAUGCCCUCAGAUAAGAAGAAUACUGAUCCAACCUCAAUGGAGUCAGCAGGAUAGUUUCAGUCAUCCUGGACAUGGGCAUAUUUCAUCCUGUCAGCAUGGCGAAAUGUGGCCUUUCCUUGACCUACUUGAAGAGUAAGCUCGCCUUCAUGGACAUCAAUGAUGGUGCGAGCCGUAUUUAAGAAUGGGUGGCCAAGAAUGAGGGAGGCAUCUGAUUCAUUGGUGUCAAUGAUAACAAAGUCCACCGAAAAGACAUAAGGUCCCAUCUGCAUAAGUACAUCUCUCAGGAUUCCACGACAAAUUCGAGUGGACUUGUUAGCCAACAGGAUGGUCAAUUGAGUCGGUGUUGGUUCUCCUAAAUCGAGCUGUUGGGAUAUCUUGCAUGGCAUUAGAUUGAUACUUACCCCAGAGUCAGCCAAAGUCUUAUCCAUGCAGGUGUUGGUGAUAUAGUAACAUAAGGUGAAAGAAUCGUGAUCCUUAUGUUUCUUAGGUAGCUGGUUCAGAAUGGCAGCAUAACAUUCAACAUCAAGAGUAACAGACUGAAUCUCAUCCAAUUUUCUCUUAUUGGUCAGAAUCUCCUUUAGAAAUUUCGAGUACUAGGGCAUUUUGGUAAUUUCCUCAAUAAACAGGAUAAUGCCAUUUGCCGUAAUCAUAAGUUCAAUGAACCUUUUGUAACUGGCACCCAUCAUAUCACUCCUUAGACGAGAAGGAUAAGGAGGUUUUGGUUUGUAGGGUGGUAACUCUGGCUUAGGGGGAGAUGGUUACAGUAGCCUUUGGAUAGGUGGCCGAGGUGGCUUUCUCAUCCUUCUUCUCGACGCUAAAGUCAAUGAUCAGCGUUGGAGGAAUGAUGACAGGUGUGGACUAUGGAAUGGGAGGAUCCUUACUGGUGGUUCCACUCUUGAGGGUGACACCUUCACAAGAUUCCGAAGUGUCAAAUCCUUCAUUAGUAACAAAGAUUGCUUUUGAUUCUUCUUGCAUAGAAUUGUUUUCUGUGUUGCUAGGGAGAGAGCCUUGUGGUCUCUCACUAAGAAUUUUGGAAAGAUUUUUCAAUUUCAAUUCAAUGUUAUGGAAAGUGGUUUGUUGCCCACGGAUAAUCUUUUCCAACCUCUCGAGUCUGGAAACUUCAUCAGACUUGGAUGUAGAAGAGGCUUGAAUAGGCGGUUAUUCAGGCUUUUGCCCAAAACCAGGAGGUCAUUGGUUAUUAGUAUAGUUCCUCGAUUGAUAGCCUUGAUUAAGACGAGAGGCAGAGUUUCCUUGGUUGAAGGUUGAUCUGUAAUAGGCAUGUUCAUCUAAUUUGUGAAUGUUUUGCUGUUGUGACGGUCCUGAGCAUUGGGUAUCAUGGUUGGUUUGGUAAGAGUUUUGGAAAGACUUGGAUUUAACUUGAUUUCAAAAGUUUGAGUUUUAAUUUUGACCAAAAAUUUAUCAAUCUUGUGGGUAACCACCACCCAAAAAGUCAACUUCUUCUGUCUGGUUAAAAACGGUAUCCCCAGAGUAACAGUCAGUAGAAUCACAUCCUUGAUCCCCUCAAGCAACAUAGACAAAGAUUAUUGCCGUCGAAUUCUAUAGGGUCCUGACGUUCAGCUUGCUCACUUUUUGAGAAAGCGCAUGCAGCUGAGAGAGAACGGGAGAAAUAACCGUCCCAAGGGUUUCAUGACGAAUCACAAAGGAUGAAGUGGUAGGCGGGGUGCUAUGAUGCUUCCCAUGUUGCCUAGUCAAAGUAUGACUACACAUAUCACAUCCAGCAGCCAGGUUGAUCAUUUGUGUGCUUUCCCGAUUGAGCCUUCAAUUGAAAAUAUCGGCUUGGUUUCGGUCAUCGAAGCUGUGAUGAGCGCAAGAGCGGAGGAGGGCUUGGAAUCGAUUGCAUGCUUCAUAUAAUUGUUCAUUAUCUCAUUGCAUGCAAUGGAUAAUUCUCUCUUUUAUCUCACCGCGCUUCUAUGGAGGAAAAAAUACCUUGAGAAAGGCUUUAGCGGGACCGUCCCACAUGGUAAAACUCCCUACUGGUUGAGAAACAAGCCAGAUUUUUGCAGCUCCCUUGAGAGAGAAAGGGAAACGCUAGAGGCGAAUGGCAUCAUGGUGCACCUGUUGGAGUUGUAAGGUGUCGCAUAUUUUGAGUAAGUAUUUGAUAUGUUGGGUGGAGUUAUCGUCCUCUUUCCCCAAGAAUUGGACUGUUUGUUGGACCAUGUAGAUCAUAGCGGGUCGCAAUUAAAAAUUGUUGUCUUCGACGUGGGGUCGGGCGAUGGAGGACCCCAGGUUCUAGAGACUUGGUUUGGCAUAAUCGCCAAGUGUCUUCUCUUCAGCCAUGGUGAAGGAUCCUUUGGGGGAAAUGCUUACGUGAUCUUCGCCAGAGUACUCAUCCUUGGAAUCCGUUCUACCGAGAGCCGGAGGUGCAAUUGUAAUUCCUUCAAGGACAUGUUUAGAAAAUUACCAAGUAAUCCGUCGAGUCAUUCAUUUGACCGAAUAGGAGUUUGGAAGAUGGGAGGAGAGAGGGAAGCAGAAUGAAUGAAUUCGUUGAGUUUUAGGUUUUGGAGGUUUGAAGAAGAAGUUUCGAGAGAGUGUUAAAGAAGGUGAGUGGGAAGAUUAUGGAGUACUUUACUUAGAAACGCCGCCUUGUUGCCAAAACCAAAACUUUCAUUUCAGUUCCAAGGAAAGUAGGGGAGUCACUCAGACUACUUAAAUCCCUUUAAACUUUAGGUAGCAUCUCUUUACGAAAGCCAAAAUAAUCCUCUCAUCUUUUUUAAUUCUCCUUUCUUAUGAUUUUAAAUUUUUUCUAUUUUUCUAUUUUUAGUGUUUAAAUUCAUAUAAAUGAUUGGUAGCAGAUUUUUUUAUUUUUUAAUUAUUUAUUUGGAUUUUUUUGUGGAAUAGGAAAGAUUCGGAGAUGAGUGGAAGAUAUGGAAAAGAUUGAGAGUUCAGUUGAGCAAGAUAAAAUAUUGAAUGGCUGAAAUGUAGAGAGAGAAAAGUUGAGUGACCAAGAGGGGAGCAUGGGAAAUAGUAUCUAGAAAAUAAAUAUAAAAUAAUUUAAGAAAAAGUAUUAUUAUUAAAAGUGAAAAUUUAGUAACUGUUUCGUACAAAAGGAACGAGGUCCACGACAACGACGCCAAAAUUUGAUCACCCCCGUAGGCAAGUUUAAAGAUAAACUCGGAAAAACCGAGGUCGUAUUCACGCGGAUUCAUUCCGAGUAUUACUCCUGAAAGUGCGAAGAUGAAAGUCUAAUCGUUGGAAUAGCGGGUAUGAAAGCACACAAAUCGCAAUCGAGUAUAAUGGAUGAGUGAAACCUGUCCGGAAAUGAAUUCACCAAGAAUCAGAGCAAGGAUGGUCAUUGUAACCCUUCUUCCUUGUUGCAGUUUCAUCAUGAUAGGCUACACCUUUUGUUGUU
rnacentral:lncRNA from 1 species